AGAUCGAUAGAUCCCAUCUAGGUGCAUCCUACUCUAAACAGUAAAUCUGAACCUACUGAAGCCAAUAUACACAGCAAGGACCCAAAUGGUUAGGGAGCAAAGAAAUGUGUAGUCAAAUUCAGUAGUCUCGCUGCGAAUAGCCAAUGACAAGAUAGGUUAAAGGACCAUUCACACCACUACAGCAUCGAGAAGACCACUGAUGAGUGAGUAGACAUCCAUGUGGUUCUCGUGUUAGUCACGCUCAGUGCAAGUUAUUCUUUAACAACUACUUGCAUCUUCACAUCAUCAUCUCUACACCGC
rnacentral:lncRNA from 1 species